GAGGGCAUAGCUCAGUGGUAGAGCCUGUGCUUAGCAUGUAUGAGGUCCUGGGUUCAAUCCACAGUACCUCCA
rnacentral:tRNA from 1 species